UCCCCAAGUUUCUGGCCUCGCAACUUAUAGGUAGUUGUUACAUGUUAAAUUCACCCUAAGUUACUAAUGGGUCAUACUAUAUAUGAUGUGAACGAUGUGUUGCAUAUUCUUAGGAUAUUUUCGUCACUAGCUAUCAUAUAGGAUGUCAUAGGUCACAUUCCAGUUAGAUUAUCUUUUAAAAAAGGAGACCGUUGUAAAAGGCAGAUUAUGAACGGCCAUUGCUGUGCAAACUAUACAAAUUUUGAAAAAAAUUCGUUAACCGAUCUUUAGUUGCACAAGCAUUCAUAAAUUAAUUGAUUUUUGUGAUAUUGAGCCAGUUAGGCAUACAUUGAUUAAUUUUACCCAGUAUUGGGGAUUUAAAGGCCGCUUACUUUUAAAGCCGAACUGGCUUUUAGUGAGAGGUACGUUGUCCGAGACCUAGGAAAAACAAAGUGGUUGAAGUUCGUGUCACCUGUUAGUCAUUCCGUACCCGUAGCAUAUAGCGUCCCUGAUAUCGGAAGUUACUUAGACAUCGUCAACAUCUUCGCAGUCCACGCUUAAGUUAGGUAGCCAGUUAUUGAAGCCCUCAACGACUUGGUAUGUCUUCAUGUAACCUAUGUGUGUCGUCCAUUGGGAAGUCGUCUAGCCAGUUGGAGGCAUACUUGUAGAUACAGGCGGGCAGUUGGAAAUAGUCAUUCGGUGGUACGAGCCACUGCCAAUGAAUUGUGUAGUUGGUAGUAUUAUAAAAUAUAAAAGUUUGGGAGUCAGAGCCACUAUUUGUGUAACAAAUGUUGUUGUCACUUACUUGUAUGUAAAGGUGAUUCGUCGUACCGUCAACCCAGCUAUUGCUGACGCACAAAGACGCUCUGAGAAUCACAAAGAACGAAAACACCUUAACGCUGGCAUAAUCGCAUAUCCCGAUUAGUUUAUUGUUGCCCAUAUUCUAACAUCGGGGUUGUUUCUCCCGACUCAAUUACCUACUGUAGUUCCAAAUUACAGCCUAU